rnacentral:tRNA from 1 species
GUAGGGCGGCCAAGUUAGCGAGAUUCCCAAGCUUAUAGCGCGAGUUCGAUUCUCGUCGCCCGCUCCA